UUCUGAUAGUGACUGGGCUGCUUGCCCUGAUACUAGGCGAUCUGUUACUGGUUUUUGUGUGCUUUUGGGUGUUGCUGAGUUGACUUGGAUUUCUCUAUCCUCUGUUGAGGCAGAAUACCAAGCCCUUAGCAAGGUUGUUGCUGAGUUGACUUGGAUUUCUCGUUUGUUGGUUGACCAUGGGUUAUCUGUUUCUUCUCCUAUUUCAGUAUAUUGUGAUAGUCAGGCUGCUAUUCAUAUUGCUAACAAUCCUGUUUUUUAUGAACGUACCAAACAUAUCGAGGUGGAUUGCCAUUUUGUUCGGGACUUGCUAUAUCUGGUUUUCUCAAGCUACUUCAUGUGCCUACUUCUUGUCAGCUGGCCGACCUGCUCACUAAGCCCCUGCCUGGCACUUUGCUUCUUCCGCUGCUCACCAAGUUGCAGGUGGUUUCCCCCUCCAACUUGAGGGGGGUGUUGAGAUGACUCAAUACAGUUACGAUAGAGAGUGGGAAGUUAAUGUUAUUUGGAAGGCAGAUUAAAUCUUUUGAAGUACAAAAUUUUAGGGUCAGAACUGCUAGUUAUGUUGAGAUAAGAGAAGCUACAUGAUUUAGCUUUGUAUAGAGACUUGUACAUUUUGUGUAUACUCAGUGUAUAUUUUCGGUAUAUCCAUGGUAUACCUUGUAGUUGGGUUGUCAUUGGGCUAUGAUGAUUUGUGUGUCUGAGCCCACAGGUCAUUAUUUAAUUUUGGGCCGGAUCAACCGACCCGACCCAUCAGUGUGUAAUAUGUAUAUAUUGUAGGUGAG
rnacentral:lncRNA from 1 species